rnacentral:lncRNA from 1 species
CAUGGAAAAAGAAUUCUAGAAAGGCUAUAUUUAGAGCAGAAGCAGAAGCACAAAGUACCCUAUGUGAUCAACUAGUUCAAUACCAUCAUUUUACAGAAGAGAAAGUUUAGUAACCUACCCAAAAUCACACAGUCAGUGACUGUGCUAACUCAAAUCCAGGUACCCCAACUGUCAGUUCAGUCUUCCCACUGUCUCUGCCUCUCUUUGACUCUGUUCCUCUUUCUCUGUGUCCCACUCUGUCUCUUUUCCCACCUUGACAUCUGAUUACAAAUCUCUCCACUUUUGCUCCUUUCUCCUAGGAUGUUAAUAAAUGGAUUGGCAUGAAAAUUUUCAUGCAUGUCAUGUACUUAAUCCUGGGUUUGAAAGCCACUGCAGUUGGCUUCACUAACUCACUUAUUUUAUUUUGCAUUGUGGGAGUUAGGGUGUCAGGAAUGCAUGCUGAUUUAUACAAAAUGACAUUCAAAUGGCUCCACUGAGCCAAGAGUUGUUACUUUCUAAGAAGAACUUCAGCUAUGGAUCAUAGUGCCCUUUGCUUGGUAGGUGCUCAAUAUGCUUGAUGAUGAUGAUGGUGAUUCAGUACUAUGAGGACAAAGGCAUGUCAUCAUAAAGGGAGGUGUGCAGGGAGUUCAGGAUUAAACACUGUCCUGGAAAGAUCUCCAACUAAAGGUCACAGCCUUCUGUAUCCAAAAUGGAUUCUGUAAGUCAGUGAGACUUCUGCCACUUCCCACUGUCAGUUCUAUUGACUGGCUUCUGCUGGAUGAGAUAUAGACCAGGAAGUGAAGCAUAAAAAUGACUACUGAGAUCACUGAAACCUAAGUUUCAAGAAGAUUACAGUCUAGUUUGAGAAUCAACACUAAGACACAGGGGACAAUUUGAGAACAACAGAUGGCAAAGGAUAAUCAUUAUGGCAGGUACAAUGGAACAACUGCUCAACUCAACCCCUCUUCUGCCUUGGAACCAAUACUUAGUAGCAAUUCUAAGACAAAAGAACAUGCCACCUCAGUGCCUUUGCAGAAGCUGUGUCCUUGCCUGGAAUGUUCUCCUUCUUCAUCUCUGCCUCUUGGAACCCCGAGAGCCCUUCAAGGCUUAGCUCAAGUUCCACCUCCAUAGCCCUCCAAUUGUUUGUACCCUUCUGCAUU